rnacentral:rRNA from 1 species
UACGUAGGGUGCAAGCGUUGUCCGGAAUUAUUGGGCGUAAAGAGCUCGUAGGCGGUUUGUCGCGUCUGCUGUGAAAACGCGAGGCUCAACCUCGCGCCUGCAGUGGGUACGGGCAGACUAGAGUGCGGUAGGGGAGAUUGGAAUUCCUGGUGUAGCGGUGGAAUGCGCAGAUAUCAGGAGGAACACCGAUGGCGAAGGCAGAUCUCUGGGCCGUAACUGACGCUGAGGAGCGAAAGCGUGGGUCGCGAAUGGG